rnacentral:rRNA from 1 species
CCUACGGGAGGCAGCAGUAGGGAAUCUUUCACAAUGGGCGAAAGCCUGAUGGAGCAACGCCGCGUGCAGGAUGAACGCCUUCGGGUUGUAAACUGCUUUUAUAAGCGAGAAAUAUGAUGGUAACUUAUGAAUAAGGAUCGGCUAACUACGUGCCAGCAGCCGCGGUCAUACGUAGGAUCCGAGCAUUAUCCGGAGUGACUGGGUGUAAAGAGUUGCGUAGGUGGCAUAAUAAGUAGCUAGUGAAAUCUGGUGGCUCAACCAUUCAGACUAUUAGCUAAACUGUUAAGCUCGAGACCGUUAGGGGUAACUGGAAUUUCUAGUGUAGGAGUGAAAUCCGUAGAUAUUAGAAGGAACACCAAUAGCGUAGGCAGGUUGCUGGGACGGUUCUGACACUAAGGCACGAAAGCGUAGGGAGCAAACGGGAUUAGAUACCCCAGUAGUC